GUGCUCACUUCAGCAGCACAUAUACUAAAAUUGAAUGUUACAGAGAAGAUCAGCAUGACCUCUGUGCAAGGAUUACACACAAAUUCCUGAAGAACUUCAUAUUUUU